rnacentral:rRNA from 1 species
UACGAAGGGGGCUAGCGUUGUUCGGAAUUACUGGGCGUAAAGCGCGCGUAGGCGGUUUUGCCAGCCAGAGGUGAAAUGCCUGAGCUCAACUUAGGAAUUGCCUUUGGGACUGCGAGGCUUUGAGGACGGGAGAGGUGAGUGGAAUUCCCAGUGUAGAGGUGAAAUUCGUAGAUAUUGGGAAGAACACCGGUGGCGAAGGCGGCUCACUGGCCCGUUUCUGACGCUGCAGCGCGAAAGCGUGGGGAUCAAACAGG